rnacentral:rRNA from 1 species
AUACGUAGGGUGCGAGCGUUAAUCGGAAUUACUGGGCGUAAAGCGUGCGCAGGCGGAUUAUUAAGCAAGACGUGAAAGCCCCGGGCUUAACCUGGGAAUGGCGUUUUGAACUGGUAGUCUAGAGUGUGUCAGAGGGGGGUGGAAUUCCACGUGUAGCAGUGAAAUGCGUAGAUAUGUGGAGGAACACCAAUGGCGAAGGCAGCCCCCUGGGAUAACACUGACGCUCAUGUACGAAAGCGUGGGUAGCAAACAGGAUUAGAUACCCUGGUAGUCCACGCCCUAAACGAUGUCAACUGGUUGUUGGGGGAGUGAAAUCCCUUAGUAACGAAGCUAACGCGUGAAGUUGACCGCCUGGGGAGUACGGUCGCAAGAUUAAA